rnacentral:tRNA from 1 species
GCCGGGAUAGCUCAGUUGGUAGACGCUACGACUGAAAAUCCUCGUGUCACCAGU